CGGAGGGGCUAGCGUUGUUCGGAAUUACUGGGGCGUAAAAGCGCACGUAGGCGGAUCGGAAAGUUGGGGGUGAAAUCCCGGGGCUCAACCUCGGAACUGCCUUCAAAACUAUCGGUCUUGAGUUCGAGAGAGGUGAGUGGAAUUCCGAGUGUAGAGGUGAAAUUCGUAGAUAUUCGGAGGAACACCAGUGGCGAAGGCGGCUCACUGGCUCGAUACUGACGCUGAGGUGCGAAAGCGUGGGGAGCAAACAGGAUU
rnacentral:rRNA from 1 species